UCGUGACCGGGCGUGACGGUACUGCGUGAAUAAGCACGGCUACUCCGUGCAGCAGCGCGGUAAUACGGAGGGUGCAAGCGUUAUCCGAUUUAUGGGUUUAAAGGGUGCGUAGGCGGCAAUUUAAGUCAGUGGUGAAAUCUGCAGCUCAACUGUAGAACCGCCAUUGAAACUGAAUUACUUGAGUAAUCUUGAGGUAGGCGGAAUGUGUAGUGUAGCGGUGAAAUGCUUAGAUAUUACACAGAACACCGAUUGCGAAGGCAGCUUACUAAGGGUUUACUGACGCUGAUGCACGAAAGCGUGGGGAUCAAACAGGAUUAGAUACCCUGGUAGUCCACGCCGUAAACGAUGAUGACUCGCUGUUGGCGAUAUACAGUCAGCGGCUUAGCGAAAGCGUUAAGUCAUCCACCUGGGGAGUACGCUCGCAAGAGUGAAACUCAAAGGAAUUGACGGGGGCCCGCACAAGCGGAGGAACAUGUGGUUUAAUUCGAUGAUACGCGAGGAACCUUACCUGGGCUUAAAUGUGCUAUGACAGCCGGAGAAAUUUGGCAUUCCGCAAGGACAGAGUACAAGGUGCUGCAUGGUUGUCGUCAGCUCGUGCCGUGAGGUGUCGGGUUAAGUCCCAUAACGAGCGCAACCCUUAUUGUCAGUUGCUAACAGGUAAAGCUGAGGACUCUGGCGAGACUGCCACCGUAAGGUGUGAGGAAGGUGGGGAUGACGUCAAAUCAGCACGGCCCUUAUGUCCAGGGCUACACACGUGUUACAAUGGCCAGUACAAAGGGCAGCUACCGGGCGACCGGAUGCUAAUCUCUAAAGCUGGUCUCAGUUCGGAUCGGAGUCUGCAACCCGACUCCGUGAAGCUGGAUUCGCUAGUAAUCGCGCAUCAGCCAUGGCGCGGUGAAUACGUUCCCGGGCCUUGUACACACCGCCCGUCAAACCAUGGGAGUUGGGGGUACCUGAAGUAUGGACCGCGAGGAGCGUCCUAGGGAAAACCAA
rnacentral:rRNA from 1 species